GCAAGUCGAACGCAGUAGCAAUACUGAGUGGCAGACGGGUGAGUAACAUGUGGGAAUCUGCCUUGUGGUUCAGGACAACAUUGGGAAACCGAUGCUAAUACUGGAUAAGCCCUUACGGGGAAAGUUUUAAUGCCAUAAGAUGAGCCCGCAUUUGAUUAGUUAGUUGGUGAGGUAAUGGCUCACCAAGACAAUGAUCAAUAGCUGAUCUGAGAGGAUGAUCAGCCACACUGGGACUGAGACACGGCCCAGACUCCUACGGGAGGCAGCAGUGGGGAAUCUUGCACAAUGGAGGAAACUCUGAUGCAGCGAUGCCGCGUGAGUGAAGAAAGGCUUUGGGUUGUAAAGCUCUUUUGUAGGGGAAGAAAAUGACUGUACCCUAAGAA
rnacentral:rRNA from 1 species